UCUUGGAGGCUAGAGAUCUGAAAUCAAGGUGUUGGUGGGGCCCUGCUCCCUCUGAAGACUCAAGGGGAGAAUCCUCCCUUGUCACUUCCAGCCUCUGGUGGUUGCAGGAGAUCCUCGGCUUGUAGGCUCCUCAUUCCAGGUUCUACAAAGACCUUAUUCCCCAGUCAGGUCAUUUACAGGAACCACAGAUUUCAACUCUGCAAAAGAGCCUGAGGUGUGUCACAUGCCAAGAAAGACUGGGCACGUUUGUUCCUCGGCACAUGGACCAAAGACCGCUAGACACAAUGAUUUCAACAUAUGCCUCUCUGCUAAAAACAAAACAACACCCCCAGGAUGGGCCAGAGACUGCAGACAAAAUUUACAUUAAUUAAGAAAAUAAACAGUUUUCAAGUACCCUGGAACUGUCUAUAAACACCUACUCAGACAGUCCUACUUUCAGUCUGGGAGACUGAGGCCCAUGAGGACCUGAUGGCUUCGUGCCUCAGAAGCUGCUCACGCUGGGUAUGGAGCGCUUGCCUUGCAAAUUCCAGAUCAUCAUGAAAAGCUACUGACAAAUGGCCCCAGUUUUUCCCACCUGGUCACGCAACAUGCAGAGCAUCAUCCUGUCUCCUCUUCACCUCUAGCCAUGGAAGUCGGUUGUAUCAUGGUUUCCAUUGUGCAGGUGAAGAGCCCAGUGCAUAGAGGUGAAGUCACUUGCUGCAGCUCACAGGGUUACUGCAGAGUUUCAGGCCUCACGCUCCUCAGACUUGGGGGCUGCCCAGUGGAAGGAGAUACCCAACUAUUUUUGACAUGUCUCUGAGUCCAUCAUGGACAAUCAGAUAAAGGUUUACAAAUGUCAGCUCUGUG